AGUGGAUUGAGAGAGAUUGGAGGG
rnacentral:miRNA from 1 species